CAGUCGCCACGGUAAAACGUAGGUGGCAAGCGUUGUCCGGAAUUAUUGGGCGUAAAGGGCUCGCAGGCGGUUUCUUAAGUCUGAUGUGAGAGCCCCCGGCUCAACCGGGGAGGGUCAUUGGAAACUGGGAAACUUGAGUGCAGAAGAGGAGAGUGGAAUUCCACGUGUAGCGGUGAAAUGCGUAGAGAUGUGGAGGAACACCAGUGGCGAAGGCGACUCUCUGGUCUGUAACUGACGCUGAGGAGCGAAAGCGUGGGGAGCGAACAGGAUUAGAUACCCGUGUAGUCCCUGUCUCUUAUAC
rnacentral:rRNA from 1 species